GUGGGGAAUCUUCCGCAAUGGACGAAAGUCUGACGGAGCAACGCCGCGUGAGUGAAGAAGGUUUUCGGAUCGUAAAGCUCUUUCGUCAGGGACGAACGUAUUUCUUGUAAAUAAUGAGAGAUAGUGACGGUACCUGAAUAAGAAGCCACGGCUAACUACGUGCCAGCAGCCGCGGUAAUACGUAGGUGGCAAGCGUUGUCCGGAAUUAUUGGGCGUAAAGCGCGCGCAGGCGGGAUAUCAAGUCUGUCUUAAAAGUGCGAGGCUCAACCUCGUGAGGGGACAGAAACUGGUAUUCUUGAGUGUCGGAGAGGAAAGUGGAAUUCCAAGUGUAGCGGUGAAAUGCGUAGAGAUUUGGAAGAACACCAGUGGCGAAGGCGACUUUCUGGACGAUGUCUGACGCUGAGGCGCGAAAGCUAGGGGAGCGAACGGGAUUAGAAACCCCGGUAGUCC
rnacentral:rRNA from 1 species